rnacentral:rRNA from 1 species
GGGGAGAGGAACUUGUUCCUCGAGUCGUUGAUUUCACACUGCCGAGAAAAGCCUCUAGCUAGAAUAACGGUGCCCGUACCGCAAACCGACACAGGUAGUCAAGAUGAGAAUUCUAAGGUGAGCGAGCGAACUCUCGUUAAGGAACUCGGCAAAAUGACCCCGUAACUUCGGGAGAAGGGGUGCUCUUUGAGGUUCACGCUUCGAAGAGCCGCAGUGAAUAGGCCCAAGCGACUGUUUAUCAAAAACACAGGUCUCUGCUAAACCGUAAGGUGACGUAUAGGGGCUGACGCCUGCCCGGUGCUGGAAGGUUAAGAGGAGUGGUUAGCGCAAGCGAAGCUACGAAUCGAAGCCCCAGUAAACGGCGGCCGUAACUAUAACGGUCCUAAGGUAGCGAAAUUCCUUGUCGGGUAAGUUCCGACCCGCACGAAAGGCGUAACGAUUUGGGCACUGUCUCAACGAGAGACUCGGUGAAAUCAUAGUACCGGUGAAGAUGCCGGUUACCCGCGACAGGACGGAAAGACCCCGUGGAGCUUUACUGUAGCCUGAUAUUGAAAUUCGGUACAGUUUGUACAGGAUAGGUAGGAGCCUUAGAAGCGUGAGCGCUAGCUUACGUGGAGGCAUUGGUGGGAUACUACCCUAAUUGUAUUGGAUUUCUAACCCGCAGCACUUAUCGUGCUGGGAGACAGUGUCAGGCGGGCAGUUUGACUGGGGCGGUCGCCUCCUAAAGAGUAACGGAGGCGCUCAAAGGUUCCCUCAGAAUGGUUGGAAAUCAUUCAUAGAGUGUAAAGGCAUAAGGGAGCUUGACUGCGAGACCUACAAGUCGAGCAGGGUCGAAAGACGGACUUAGUGAUCCGGUGGUUCCGCAUGGAAGGGCCAUCGCUCAACGGAUAAAAGCUACCCCGGGGAUAACAGGCUUAUCUCCCCCAAGAGUUCACAUCGACGGGGAGGUUUGGCACCUCGAUGUCGGCUCAUCGCAUCCUGGGGCUGUAGUCGGUCCCAAGGGUUGGGCUGUUCGCCCAUUAAAGCGGUACGCGAGCUGGGUUCAGAACGUCGUGAGACAGUUCGGUCCCUAUCCGUCGUGGGCGUAGGAAAUUUGAGAGGAGCUGUCCUUAGUACGAGAGGACCGGGAUGGACAUACCUCUGGUGUACCAGUUGUCGUGCCAACGGCAUAGCUGGGUAGCUAUGUAUGGACGGGAUAAGUGCUGAAAGCAUCUAAGCAUGAAGCCCCCCUCGAGAUGAGAUUUCCCAACUUC